AUCAGUUUGUUUACUAGAAUCCAUUUGAUAAGUCAAUGCCAUAUAAGGAUGACGGAUCUACAUCAUCUAAUUAUCUAAAUGCUAUAAUACUAAGUUAGAUGUGAUUCCAACAUAAAACCAAUCGAUGAUAAAUGUAUUGGUCAUCAAUAUUCUUAUAUAUUAUUUAAGAUACUUUUUGGAUUGGACAUCAUAAAUCAGAUUUUAAUAUCAUGUAAAAUUAAAUAGACUUCUAACAUAAAAUUAAUUAGUGAUAAUUAGAUUGAUCUAUGUCUCUUUUAUAUUAUUUAAGAUAUUUUCUAAUGUAGGAGACUUUGUCUUUAGUAACAAGUCUAGCUAUAUGAUUCAGAUAGUUAUUUAAUAAACAAUAUAAAUAAGUACUACGGCUUGUAAUGAUCAGUUCUAUAAUGAAUUUUUUACUCUCUAGGACACAUUAUGACUUAUGAAUUACACAUACAGACACUUGAUGCUGGAGAGGCACUUUAUUGAUGUGCAUUGUCCUUCUUGCCCUCAAAUAAGAUCCAACUACACAAUCUCUCUCUUCUCAUUCUAACUAGAAAGUAGAAACUAACCGAUUACUUUACUUCCACAAAAACUAAUUAGGCAAUAAAAAUAAGUAAUUCAAAAACUAUUUCUUAUUUUUUUGAAAAGUCAUAUAUUCCCUAUAUUCUCUCUCCAAUACCUAUUUUGGAUCUCAGAUUUACUUUCUCAAAUUUUCUAACCCUAAUUUUCCCAAAACUCUCUCCUCCUUCUUCAUAAUUUGUCGAAGAAAACCAAGAACCCAGAAUUAUCAGGCUGGUUUUGAUUAUGUGAUUUCCUCUCCACGUCUUUAUUCAUCUUUCUCCACUUUCCGAUAAUUCUCAUCUACCUUUUUACUCUCUUUAGUGAACGAUGACGAAAUCUAAGCCAAAGAAGAAAGGCAAGACUACUGAAGAACUAACCCCAUCGCAAACCUAUAUCGGAGUCGAGAAAGCAUGGCAAAAUCGAAGAAGCUCAAUUGUCAACCUUUGAGAUUUUGUGGACGGGAGAGAUGACGGAGCUCCGGUGUGGAGAAGGUGACAUGACAGCGAGCAGGUCCGAGCUCCGUUGUGGAGAGGAAGACGGGAAAUCGAGCAGGUCCGAGCUCCGGUGUGGAGAGGACGCGAUGACGAGCAGGUCCGAGCUCCAUUGAUUAUUUUGUUCAUUAUUUGGUUGUUGUAGUCACGUGAGUCUUAAAAUAAAGUGUGUAUGAUUACUCAGUUUAUUGAGAAUUCAAAUUGAAUGAUGUAUUCACUAAAACAUCAAAAACGUAAUGUUGUUCUAUAAUUGUUGCAUUGAUCUGUGUUAACAAUUAGUUUAUUUGCAUGGGUUCUUUUGUUCUGUUU